UGGGGAAUUUUGGACAAUGGGCGCAAGCCUGAUCCAGCAAUGCCGCGUGCAGGAUGAGGGCCUUCGGGUUGUAAACUGCUUUUGUACGGAACGAAACGGCUCUGUCUAAUACAUGGGGCUGAUGACGGUACCGUAAGAAUAAGCACCGGCUAACUACGUGCCAUCAGCCGCGGUAAUACGUAGGGUGCAAGCGUUAAUCGGAAUUACUGGGCGUAAAGCGUGCGCAGGCGGUGAUGUAAGACAGGUGUGAAAUCACCGGGCUUAACCUGGGAAUUGCAUUUGUGACUGCAGCGCUGGAGUGCGGCAGAGGGGGAUGGAAUUCCGCGUGUAGCAGUGAAAUGCGGAGUAAUGCGGAGGAACACCGAUGGCGAAGGCAAUCCCCUGGGACUGCGAUGACGCUCAUGAACGAAAGCGUGGGGAGCAAACA
rnacentral:rRNA from 1 species